rnacentral:rRNA from 1 species
UACGAAGGGGGCUAGCGUUGCUCGGAAUCACUGGGCGUAAAGGGUGCGUAGGCGGGUCUUUAAGUCAGGGGUGAAAUCCUGGAGCUCAACUCCAGAACUGCCUUUGAUACUGGCGAUCUCGAGUUCGGGAGAGGUGAGUGGAACUGCGAGUGUAGAGGUGAAAUUGUAGAUAUUCGCAAGAACACCAGUGGCGAAGGCGGCUCACUGGCCCGAUACUGACGCUGAGGUGCGAAAGCGUGGGGAGCAAACAGGG